UACCAAAUUAAGUCAUGUGUUGUAUAUUAACCAGUCUAUCAGAAUUUUUUUUGCUAAAUGUAUUAUUUAUACGUCAUUACACGGCUCUAUUAAAUACUAUUGAAUUAUCCUCAUCUUAUCCAUUGGGAGUGUCAUUGUUAAGGCAGUAGUACCAGUAAAUAACCAAUAGGUGUCAGUAAUCCGCGGGAGAGCUUCGCUGCAUAUUUCUCUUCAAGAUUGAGAAUCGCAACGAAAUCCUCGUCGAGCAACACGUCCACUGAGCAACCAUGUCUGUGUCCUUAAAGGAACUCUGUCAGGUACAGAUUAGAACUAUGAACUUGAAAAUCAACCAUUCUGAUGACUGGCGUCCCCAUCCGAGUCACCACCUCAGACAACAACAGUCAUAAACUCACAAACACAAAUACACUCAGUAAUGCGCUUAAUAAAGAAAGACUUAACUAUGA